rnacentral:rRNA from 1 species
GACGAACGCUGGCGGCGUGCUUAACACAUGCAAGUCGAACGGAAAGGCCCUUUCGGGGGUACUCGAGUGGCGAACGGGUGAGUAACACGUGGGUGAUCUGCCCUGCACUUUGGGAUAAGCUUGGGAAACUGGGUCUAAUACCGAAUACACCCUGCUGGUCGCAUGGCCUGGUGGGGAAAGGCUUUGCGGUGUGGGAUGGGCCCGCGGCCUAUCAGCUUGUUGGUGGGGUGAUGGCCUACCAAGGCGACGACGGGUAGCCGGCCUGAGAGGGUGUCCGGCCACACUGGGACUGAGACACGGCCCAGACUCCUACGGGAGGCAGCAGUGGGGAAUCUUGCGCAAUGGGCGAAAGCCUGACGCAGCCAUGCCGCGUGAAUGAUGAAGGUCUUAGGAUUGU